rnacentral:rRNA from 1 species
AGCGAACGCUGGCGGCAGGCCUAACACAUGCAAGUCGAACGGACCCUUCGGGGUUAGUGGCGGACGGGUGAGUAACACGUAGGAACGUGCCUUUAGGUUCGGAAUAGCUCCUGGAAACGGGUGGUAAUGCCGAAUGUGCCCUUCGGGGGAAAGAUUUAUCGCCUUUAGAGCGGCCCGCGUCUGAUUAGCUAGUUGGUGAGGUAAAGGCUCACCAAGGCGACGAUCAGUAGCUGGUCUGAGAGGAUGACCAGCCACAUUAGGACUGAGACACGGCCCAAACUCCUACGGGAGGCAGCAGUGGGGAAUCUUGCGCAAUGGGCGAAAGCCUGACGCAGCCAUGCCGCGUGAAUGAUGAAGGUCUUAGGAUUGUAAAAUUCUUUCACCGGGGACGAUAAUGACGGUACCCGGAGAAGAAGCCCCGGCUAACUUCGUGCCAGCCGCCGCAGUAACAC